UACGUAGGGUGCGAGCGUUAAUCGGAAUUACUGGGCGUAAAGUGUGCGCAGGCGGUCUCGCAAGUCAAGUGUGAAAGCCCCGGGCUUAACCUGGGAACUGCGCUUGAAACUACGAGACUCGAGUGUGGCAGAGGAAGGUGGAAUUCCACGUGUAGCGGUGAAAUGACGUAGAGAUGUGGAGGAACACCGAUGGCGAAGGCAGCCUUCUGGGCCAACACUGACGCUCAUGCACGAAAGCGUGGGGAGCAAACAGG
rnacentral:rRNA from 1 species